AAGAUUAAGCCAUGCAUGUCUAAGUAUAAACAAAUUCAUACUGUGAAACUGCGAAUGGCUCAUUAAAUCAGUUAUAGUUUAUUUGAUGGUAUCUUGCUACAUGGAUAACUGUGGUAAUUCUAGAGCUAAUACAUGCUUAAAAGCCCCGACUUCUGGAAGGGGUGUAUUUAUUAGAUAAAAACCAAUGGGUUUCGGCCCUUCUUGGUGAUUCAUAAUAACUUCUCGAAUCGCAU
rnacentral:rRNA from 1 species